rnacentral:guide_RNA from 1 species
AAAUCCAUUAUUAACUGUAAGAUUGUAGUAUAGAAAGUGAGUAAUUU